GGAGAGGUGGCCGAGCGGUUGAUGGCACCGGUCUUGAAAACCGGCAUACCUUAACGGGUAUCGGGGGUUCGAAUCCCUCCCUCUCCGCCA
rnacentral:tRNA from 1 species